rnacentral:lncRNA from 1 species
GGGGCCGGUGGGGCCGCGCUCAGCCCCGCCGCAGGUGGCGGUGGGAGCCCUGCGCUGCCGCCACCCCGCCCGCGGCCCGGCCGCGCUUCCGCCCGCGUCAGCUGACUGCUGCGAGGAAGCGGCGGCGGCCCCGGCCCAGCCCCGAGCCUGUGGAAGCCCCGGCGCGUCCCCCCCCGCAGCCAUGGCAGGGGUCGUGGUGAGCGGAGCCCAAGUGUCCUAUAUUAGUCAAGACUGUGAAGAAAUUCCAGAAUUCCUAGGAAGAAAAUAUGGACAUAUGGCAAAAAGGCUAGAUCUUAGCUUCAACUUGUUAAGGU